rnacentral:rRNA from 1 species
GAUGAACGUUAGCGAUAGGCUUAACACAUGCAAGUCGAGGGGCAGCGAGGGUAGCAAUACCUGUCGGCGACCGGCGCACGGGUGAGUAACGCGUAUGUAACCUGCCCGCAACAGGGGGAUAACCCGGCGAAAGUCGGACUAAUACCGCAUAAAACAGGGGUCCCGCAUGGGAAUAUUUGUUAAAGAUUUAUCGGUUGCGGAUGGGCAUGCGUACCAUUAGGUAGUUGGUGAGGUAACGGCUCACCAAGCCUUCGAUGGUUAGGGGUUCUGAGAGGAAGGUCCCCCACACUGGUACUGAGACACGGACCAGACUCCUACGGGAGGCAGCAGUGAGGAAUAUUGGUCAAUGGGCGAGAGCCUGAACCAGCCAAGUCGCGUGAAGGAGGACUGCCCUAUGGGUUGUAAACUUCUUUUACAAGGGAAUAAAAUGAGAUACGUGUAUUUUAUUGCAUGUACCUUGGGAAUAAGCAUCGGCUAACUCCGUG